rnacentral:lncRNA from 1 species
UUACCCUCCCUUGGACUCUUCAUGGAGAUAUUUUUAGAGCCUAUUUCAUAGGUAUUCGAAACUUGGUCAAACAUUCCUCAUUUCAACAUUGAUAAAUUUUUUUUUAAAAAAAAAAUCAUUAUAAAAACUUUUGUAGGAUGUAUUAUUGAAGGGAAGGAUUACAAGCAAACUCACUCUAUAUUCACCAAAAGAAAUCACGUUGAUUAUUGUGGUUGAAUAAAAUAAAUUGGAAAAAGAUAGAAAUCAUUCUGAAAUUUUUCAGUGCCGGAGACGUCUCUAGCAAAUCGCAGAGACGUCCCUCCGGCGAGACGUCUCGCGUUAGUCGUGGAGACGUCUCGGGGACCGAACGAAGGUUUUUAAAUUAGGUGAAACAGCUCGAGCCGACCCGAGCUAUCUUCUUUCGUCCCCGACAAAAACAAAAAACCCUAGCCUCCAUUUGCUCUCCACCACAAACCCUAGCCUCCAUUCCAAACCAUGGCACCUAAGAGAGCUAGACGAACAGGUGGGAGGCAUCCUAGGGUAGCGA